GCUCAUAAAGCUCAGUUGGUAGAGCGCACCCUUGGUAAGGGUGAGGUCCCCAGUUCGACUCUGGGUAUCAGCACCA
rnacentral:tRNA from 1 species